rnacentral:ncRNA from 1 species
AGAUGCGCGCCAGUUUCAGGUGCCUCAUGCCGCCGAGCAUGAGGUGAAACGGGAAGCCGGUGCGUCACUUCGAUGACUAGUCCGGCGCUGCCCCCGCAACGGUAAGCGAGCGAAACAUUCGACAGACCACUGUGCAACUGCAUGGGAAGGUGAAUGUUUCAUGACCCUCGCAAGCCCGGAGACCGGCCUGCAACUUCGUUUUGGC